rnacentral:rRNA from 1 species
GACAGAGGGUGCAAACGUUGUUCGGAAUUACUGGGCGUAAAGCGCGUGUAGGCGGCCAAGCAAGUCGGAUGUGAAAGCCCUCGGCUCAACCGGGGAAGUGCACUCGAAACUGCUGGGCUAGAGUCUCGGAGAGGAUCGUGGAAUUCUCGGUGUAGAGGUGAAAUGCGUAGAGAUCUGGAAGAACACCGAAGGCGAAGGCAGCGUUCUGGGAAGCAACUGACGCUCAUGUGCGAAAGCCAGGGGAGCGGAACGGG